rnacentral:rRNA from 1 species
UGGGGAAUUUUGGACAAUGGGCGAAAGCCUGAUCCAGCAAUGCCGCGUGUGUGAAGAAGGCCUUCGGGUUGUAAAGCACUUUUGUCCGGAAAGAAAUCCUUGGCUCUAAUACAGUCGGGGGAUGACGGUACCGGAAGAAUAAGCACCGGCUAACUACGUGCCAGCAGCCGCGGUAAUACGUAGGGUGCAAGCGUUAAUCGGAAUUACUGGGCGUAAAGCGUGCGCAGGCGGUUUGCUAAGACCGAUGUGAAAUCCCCGGGCUCAACCUGGGAACUGCAUUGGUGACUGGCAGGCUAGAGUAUGGCAGAGGGGGGUAGAAUUCCACGUGUAGCAGUGAAAUGCGUAGAGAUGUGGAGGAAUACCGAUGGCGAAGGCAGCCCCCUGGGCCAAUACUGACGCUCAUGCACGAAAAGCGCGGGGGAGCAAAACAGGAUUAGAUACCCCUGGUAGUCCACGCCCUAAAACGAUGUCAACUAGUUGUUGGGGGAUUCAUUUCCUUAGUAACGUAGCUAACGCGUGAAGUUGACCGCCUGGGGAGUACGGUCGCAAGAUUAAAACUCAAAUGAAUUGACGGGGUCAUAGCUGUUU